UGACGGAGGGAAGGAGCAACACUACUUUUACAGAUGGAGCCCUGAGCUGAAGAGAUGCAACAUUUGCCAAACAAAGGGGAGCUACGCAAAGCUUGUGUCUCAUGUGCAGGGACAGAGGACGGUGGAUACAGUGUCUACAAAUGCCACCUUGACUGUGUGCAAAGCCAUUAUCACUGUGGCUUAGUGAAAAAU